rnacentral:rRNA from 1 species
AACGAACGCUGGCGGCAUGCCUAACACAUGCAAGUCGAACGAUGCUUUCGGGCAUAGUGGCGCACGGGUGCGUAACGCGUGGGAAUCUGCCCCUUGGUUCGGAAUAACAGUUAGAAAUGACUGCUAAUACCGGAUGACGACGUAAGUCCAAAGAUUUAUCGCCGAGGGAUGAGCCCGCGUAGGAUUAGCUAGUUGGUGUGGUAAAGGCGCACCAAGGCGACGAUCCUUAGCUGGUCUGAGAGGAUGAUCAGCCACACUGGGACUGAGACACGGCCCAGACUCCUACGGGAGGCAGCAGUGGGGAAUAUUGGACAAUGGGCGAAAGCCUGAUCCAGCAAUGCCGCGUGAGUGAUGAAGGCCUUAGGGUUGUAAAGCUCUUUUACCCGGGAUGAUAAUGACAGUACCGGGAGAAUAAGCUCCGGCUAACUCCGU